GACAAUAAGAAAGCCCCUUAAAUCACAAAUGUUCACCUUGGCAGAAGAGGAACAUCUGCCUAGGAACUUACGGACAGAACGUAUGAUGGAGUGAAGAAUGAAAACGGACCACUUACAGAGCUUGGCUAGAUGAGGUUUAUUUUAGCCACUCUCGAGAUGCCUGUGAAAAUCUUUACAAACUUAUUACAAGCUGGAUUAUUCUCAUGUCCUAUUGUUUGCAGU